GCGAGCGGCCCCCAUGGCGGACGGCGGCGAGAUGGACGAGGAGGCGAUGAUGCGCGCCUUCUUUCCCACAUCCUUUGGCAAGGCGCCUUCCCGCCCCAGCGCCGCGUCCCACUCCUCCACCCUCCGCAAGCCCCAAAACCCUAGCUCCAGCCCCUCCACCUCCGCCGUCGAGGAGGACGACGGCGUCCUCGUCGGCCCCCCUUUGCCGCCGAAGGACUCGGCUCGUAGCCAGGAGGAUGAAGAGGAGAGUAGACCCAUGAUUGGGCCGCCCCGGCCGCCUGCGCAGCUGCCGACGGUGCACGAGGAGGCUGAGGACGAGGACGGCGACAUGGUCGGGCCGCCUCGGCCGCCUCCGCCAAAGGAGGGCGAGGAGGAUGAGGACGACGAUGAUGACGACGACGAGGAUGACGACGACGAUGACGAUAUGGAGGAUGAUGGGGAGGAUUUCGGUCGGAUUCCUCUCAGCAACGAAAUUGUUCUGCGGGGGCACACCAAGGUUGUCUCAGCCCUUGCUGUUGACCCUACAGGAUCCCGAGUGCUGUCUGGUAGCUACGAUUAUACUGUACGGAUGUAUGACUUCCAAGGCAUGAAUUCGAAGCUGCAGUCAUUUAGGCAAUUGGAACCGUGUGAGGGACAUCAAGUUCGUAGCCUGAGCUGGAGUCCAACAUCAGAUCGAUUCUUAUGUGUCACUGGUUCAGCUCAAGCCAAGAUAUACGAUCGGGACGGGCUUUCUCUCGGUGAGUUUGUGAAGGGUGAUAUGUACAUCCGCGAUCUUAAGAACACAAAGGGCCACAUUUCUGGACUAACUGCUGGCGAAUGGAAUCCCAAGUCAAAAGAAACUAUAUUAACUUCAUCAGAAGAUGGGUCGUUACGUCUCUGGGAUGUUUCAGACUUUAGUGGUCAAAAGCAGGUCAUCAAACCUAAGCUAAAAAGACCGAUGCGUAUCCCAGUUACUUCAUGUGCAUGGGAUCAUGAAGGCAAGCGUAUUGUUGCUGGGGUGGGGGAUGGUUCCAUUCAGCUCUGGACCAUAAAGACUGGAUGGGGAAGUAGACCAGAUAUCCAUGUUGAAAAAGCACACACAGAAGAUAUCACUGGGGUCAAAAUUUCUACAGAUGGGCAAAUUCUUCUGUCAAGAAGUAUGGAUAGUACUCUAAAGAUAUGGGAUUUGAGGAAAAUGAAGACUCCUUUGAAAGUGUUCGAAGAUCUGCCAAAUAACUACGCAGAGACAAAUGCAUCAUUUAGCCCAGACGAACAGCUUGUUUUUACAGGAACCUCUGUUGAGAAAGAUGGCAGGAACGGAGGACUACUUUGCUUCUUUGAUAGAAGGAAACUAGAGCUUGUAUCAAGGGUGGGAAUUUCACCACAUUACAGUGUCAUAAGGUCUCUCUGGCAUCCAAGGAUUAAUCAGGUAUUUGCAACAGUUGGGGACAAGAAGGAAGGUGGGACUCAUAUCUUGUAUGAUCCAUCUGUAAGUCAGAGGGUGGCUCUUGUAUGUGUCGGAAGAGCACCGAGGAAAAAGUCUGUUGACGAUUAUGAGGUGCAACCUUUAAUACACAAUCCACAUGCACUGCCUCUAUUCAGAGAUCAACCAAGUCGUAAACGCCAGAGAGAGAAGAUGAUGAAAGACCCCCUCAAAUCGCACAAGCCAGAAGCACCUGUUAAUGGUCCAGGAUUUGGUGGUAAAAUUGGUACGACAAAAGGCAGCUUGCUGACACAGUAUCUCAUGAAGGAAGGUGGUUUAAUCAAGGAGACCUGGAUGGAUGAAGAUCCAAGAGAGGCAAUUCUGAAAUAUGCCGAUGCUGCGAAAAAUGACCCAAAGUUUAUUGCGCCAGCAUAUGCUCAAACUCAGCCAGAAACUGUCUUUGCAGAGUCUGAUUCUGACGGUGAAGAGAAAAAAUAACAUAUGGAUGUAAGCUAUUUGUUUCCAGUAAAAUGAGCUAUGAUACACCAAGAUUCUAUUUUAUGACAGUGAAUCUAAGGCAGUGACUGUUAAGUUUCUUGCACAAGUCCCACACCAUCUUUCCUUACUGAGAAAAAAUAGAAUCUGUGAAUUACCAACCUUUGGGAGGUCAAUAUUUUUCUCGGGAUUCUCAUGGAAGAGUUGUAGCGCAGGAAAACAGCCAAAAUAAGAUGGGCACAUAAAGAUACUUGGCAAGUGAAGAAAUACCAUAUCAGAUUCAUGUUAGGCACGAUGUGUUUUUGCUGUGCGACACUUCACGAGCCAUUUAUGGACAUUACUGAUUAAUCACAGUUGGCACCCUGUUCGUAACUCUGAAACACCAGUGCUAUUGCUUUCACCUCACAGUCGGUUCUGCCUAGUGGGCAUUGUGAGGUUUUACUUUUUAUUAGACCUUGUUAUAGAGAUUUGUGGCUGCUGUGCAGAGUGCCCAACGAAGACCGCUUUCCUGAUUUCCAGAUGUUAUUCUAGCUUGUGAGCAUUUUAUUGGUUUCA